UCUGAGUACUUUAUGUGGGAGCUUGUCCAGGAUAGCCCCCCCAUAAGCCACACAGAUACCUGAUCAGCGAGUCGUCCAGCUAGCCGGUGGGAUUCAAAAGAUCCGUUGAUGAAUUGCCUUGCUAAACAAGCGAGCCCUGGGAAAAUGAAGCUUAACAAAGAUCACCAUGAUACACUUAAUAACCAGCAGUGACCCUAUCAUCCAUGGGAACAGAUAGUCAUCAUGGCCUCCUGGUCUGGACCACAGGAGAGGCGGGUGCAUGCAGCUGAAGGGAGCAGCAAAUGCUGCUGAAGGAGAUAGGUUGUCAA